rnacentral:lncRNA from 1 species
CCAUCAGAGUUUAGUUUAAAAUUCCUCCCAGGAUUCUACUGCCUUUUUCCUCCUUGGGAGCUCAGGCAGCUGGGAUUCUCGGGGUGGGGUUGGGGGGGUUGUUGGGGGUGGUGGUGUUACAAUUGGCCACACACAGGAGGGGGCGUCCCACCCUGGAUGGGAAGUCCCCAGGUGCUGAGUCGGGACUCCCUGUUCCAGGCCCAGCAGCUGGCAACCUGCAAGCCUGUGGGUGCCAAUGGGUCCUGGCCUUGGCUCCCUCCCUGCGCCCAAUCUCCUUCCUUGCUGAAGCCUGGCGAGUGUGCCCAUCUCUCCUCGCCUGCAGUCCACCCCUCACACCCACGUGGACACCUGGGGACAUUUGGGUCCUGUUCAGAGCUCAGAGCUUAGACCAUCUGUGGAAGCUCUCCCUGGCUUUUCCCUUGAUGGUGCAGGAUUUGUGUUUGGCCGCUGUUCUCAAAAUAUCUAGACUCUCCUAGGCUCUUAAAAAAAAAAAAAAAAAAGGCUUUAUGUAUUCAUUUUUAGUUUAGUUGGUUUUUUUUUGGGGGGGGGGUGCCAGAGCCGGGGAUCAAACCCAUGUCACAGUGGCGACCCAAGCCACUGCAGUGAAAUGCCUGAUCUUUAACCUGCUGAGUCACGGGAGAACUCCAGAAACAGCUUGAUUGAGGUAUCUUUGAUGUAUAAAAAUUACAUACACUGAAGAUGUGCAAUUUGAUGUUUUGAUACAUGCACAUGUCACGAAAAGAUUCCCGGGAUCACUCUGACAAAUGUCUCUGUCACGCUACGUAGCUGCCCAGGUUCUCGGGUCUCGAUUCAAUGGGGUGCUUGGAUCAGAACCUACUCACUCUGCAGAGCCCUGGGCAGGGGAAGGGGGAGGCACUGAGCUAGACACCCCUCCCCCUUUUCCCUGACACCAAGGCUGGCAGGGCUGAGCUGGCGGGGCUGGUGGGGCUGGCAGGGAGACUGGGCAUCGGGAGGGAAGCCAGGUCCCCCACCUUCUUUGUCCCGCACCUGGUGGAUGCUCUUUGAACCAGCAGAUUAGCAUUCGGUGACUUUGUUUUCCUGAGUCCAAGCGUAGGUGGUUGUAGGGACUCAGAACACGGUUUGGUGUCUGACUUUCUCACUUCCCCAGGGGUAAUACUUUAUGUGUCAGCGUUUCACACGGCCCUGAAGUCUGCUGUUUGCAGGUGUUCCCUAGAGAGUGGUGCUGCCGAUUUGUGAAGUGAGAACGUGGGGAGCUUAACGUCCAGGGACCCCGGCACAAGUGUCAUGCCAUCUUCUGAAUGUGCACGGACGGGAAGUCCUGCUCACCUGGCUUCACUGCUGGAGUUCACACCUCUCUGGGUGAGUCAGGUGAACCCUUUGGGCCCUGGCUGUGAGUGAGAACUUGAUGCUAAGACGAGCUGGAGGUCUGAGCGGAGGAUGCAGGGUUCACGGAGGAUGCAGUGAGAGUCCAGGGCACAUGGAACUUGUUUUAGUGCAAAUGCUGUUCUGCCAGCUGACUGCUGGAGACUCCCAAAGGUGUCUGAGUGAGCUAGUGUGUGUGUGUGUCUGUGAGUGUGUGCAGGACUGAAAUUCUACACUAUCAGGUGGGGCAAGAAACAAGGAACUAUGGGUUAUUACCAACAGCGUGGUCCCACCAGAACCUACUGGCUGGUGAGACCAGAAGACAUUUCAGUCAGAGACCAGUCCCCUAAAAAACCUGCAAUCCAGCCAGGAAUUUUAAAAAGGGGUGAACUUUUUAGAAAAUUUUGUGGGGGGUGGUUAAUUGGUGUACAGCACAUGUUUGAAGGGCACAACUGCUAAGUUUUGACGUGUCUGCCCCUGUAGGACCACAGCCAUACAGUGCCCCUUGGUAAUCCCCUCUCUGCCCCUGCCUGUCCCUCCCCUGACCAUCUGCUUUCUGUCACUGUACAUUAGUUUGCAUUUUAUAGGAAUUUACAUAAAAUAAAUGGAAUCAAACAGUAAGUACUUUAAAAAAUUGUGGUAGGAAGUUAUAACACAAAAUCUACCGUUUUAACCCUUUUUGAAUUCCUGGCCUUAAGCCUGUCCAACUUCAGAACUCCCUUCAUCUUGCAGAAUUGAAAUGCUGUAGCCAUGAAACAAUGCCUCACCAUCCCCCAGCCCCUACAGCCCUGACAGCCCCCAUUCCACCUUCUGUCUAUGAUUUUGCUCCUCCAAAUACCUCAUGUUAGUAGAAUCAGACAGUGGUUGUCUUUUCGUGAUUGGCUUAUUUCAUUAGCACAAUGUCAUCAAGAUUCAUCCAUGUUGUUGCAUAUUGCAAAAUUUCCUCCCUUUCUAAGUCUGGAAACUAUUCCACUGUGUAUAAAGACCACAUCUUAUUUAUCCAUUCAUCUGCGGAUGCACACUGGGGUUGCUUCCAUGUUUUAGCUGUUAUGAAUAACGCUGCCACGAACAUGGGUGUACAGAUAGCUUUUUGAGACCCUGAUUUUUAUUCUUUGGGGUAUAUACUCAGAAGUGGAAUCGCCAAAUCAUAGGGUAGCUCUUUUUUUAGUUUUUUGAGCAUUUUACAUUCCUACUAAUGGUCUACCAGGCUUUCAAUUUCUCCACUUCUUUGCCACCACUUGUUAUUUUCUGUGUGUUUGUUUUUGUCUUGUGUCUUUUUCAGAGCUACACCCAUGGCAUAUGGAGGUUCCCAGGCCAGGGGUCUAAUCGGAGCUGUUGCUACCGGCCUACGCCAGAGCCACAGCCACACCAGAUCUGAGCUGCAUCUGCAACCUACACCACAGCUCACGGCAAUGCCAGAUCCUUAACUCACUGAUCAAGGCCAGGGAUUGAACCCACAACCUCAUGGUUCCUAGUUGGAUUCGUUUCUACUGCACCACAAUGGGAACUCCUAUUUCUGUUUUUUGAUAGCAGCCAUCCUGAUGGGUGUGAGGUAGCAUCUCAUUGUACUGUUGAUUUGCAUUUCCCUAAGAUGUUGACUCUCUUUUCACGUGCUAGAGUUUUUUUGUUUUGUUUUGUUUUGUUUUGUCUUUUCCCCCUUUAUGUUUUAUUUUGCAUACAUGGUUUCUUUUUAAUCUUUUCCAGAAGUCACAGAUAUUUUUUUUCCCAAGUCUUUUAUUCUCCUCUGUGUUUUACUUUGGUUGGUUUCUAUUGCUGUCUCUUCAAGUUCACUAAUCUUUUCUUCUGCAGUGUUUAAUCUGCUGUUAAUCCCUAUCUAGUGGAUUUUUAGUCUGAGAUUUAAAGUUUCAUAUGUAGAAAUUUGAUUUGGGUCUUUUAAAAAAAUAUCUUCCAUGUCUCCACUUAACAUGUAUUAUCUUUCCUCUAGCUUUUUAAACACAUGGAAUAAAGUUUUUGUUGCUGUUUUAAUGUGCUUGGCUGCUAAUUCUAACCUUUCUCUCAGUUCCACUUUGGUUUUGAUUGACCGUUACUCCUUGUGAGUCAUACAGGUUCCUGCUUAUUUGCAUAGCUGUAUAUCUUGACUGGAUCAUAGAUUUUAUCUGGCUGGCUGCUGGGUAUUUUUUACUUUCCUGUAAACAUUCUCGAGCUUAGUUCCGGGGUACAGUUAAUUGCUUGGAUACGCUUUGAUCCUUUUGGGUCUUGCUUUGAAGCUGUGUCAGGCAGGAUUUGCAGUCUAUGGGUGGCCCCUCUGAGCCCUCCCAUGAAUAAUGGGAUUAGGAUUUGCAGUCUAUGGGUGGCCCCUCUGAGCCCUCCCAUGAAUAAUGGGAUUAGGUGUUGCUUCAGGCUGGCUGGUCGGAACAGGUAUUACUGUUGACGCCCAUGCGAGCUGUGUGUUUUUCCUCCAGUUCUUUAGGGCAGCUCUUUUCCUGGCCUGAGUAGUUUCCUCUCAUGCACUGGAUGGUCAGCACUCUGCUGAAAUGAAGAACACUAAAGCAGUCUUUCCAGAACCUGCAGGUUUCAGGUUCACUCCCGGUACUGCUCUUUCCUCAGUGUCCUUGCUGUGACUGGUCUGGGUCUCCCUGGACACUCAGCCCCCCUCUAAAUCAUCACGUUUGCUGGUCUCUGAGGGGGCCCCUUCUCCCUGCCCCACACCUGAGACUUCCUCAGGGCAGCAAGCCAGGGCCAGCAUAGGCUCACCUCAUUUGCUUCUCAUUCCUUAGGGAUUAAUGUCCUUCACUGCCUCACAUUCAAUGUCUUGAAAAGUGUUAUCUCAUUCCCCCCCCCCCCAUUUUUUAGUUGUUUUGGGAAUGAGGACUAAACUUAGUCUCUCUUCCUCCAUCUUGGCCAGAAAUGGGAGCCUAAGCGACACAUUUUAUACAGGGAUCUGGUUACAGAAGUGUCCAAAGGGCUAAAGUAGCAAAACGGAAAAGGUUUGUAUUACAGGAAGCCAGGUCUGGAAGAACCAGGGGAGGAGGUGAUGUUACAUGAGACCAGGAGUAUUCUUAGGGCUGAUCCUGGAGGAAACUUGGCUGCCCCUGAAAUCGGUGCUGCGGUAACUGCAUAUAUUUUUGGACCCUGUAAUGGCAGCCAACUGCUGCUCUCCUUACCGGGGCUGCCACGGCUGCUGAGCCCACAGCCAUCUCUGGCUGAUGGAGAUGCCACUAGACGCAGACAGGAAGGAGUAUGGCUUCUCUUUUUUCAUCUGUCCUCCAAACUCUUUUUAGAACUUCCCAUUAACCACCUUAGCCUGCGGCUGGGACAAGAGCAUCUGGGAAGUGUAGUUGGCAAAGAUUCAGCCCCUAACAGUAGAGAACAGGGCAUGGAAAGACAGGGAGGUGCCAGCACAUCUCCUGCUGCAUCUUCUUCUCUUUACGGAUUAAUGGUACUGCUUCCUCGUUCACCACUUUGCUCUAAAGCAUUUACUCCACUGACAAUUUCAAACACUAUAUAACUUCUCUCUUAGGUUCUGUUCCUUUGAGGUAGUCUAAAGUGCUGAAGCCAAACUUUCCCUUCCAAGCCAAGUAGUGGAAAGCCCUUAGCCAUCCACCUUAUCUGACUGCAUGAAGGCAGUUCUUAGCCUGUUUUUCCACAUGGAAUAGCCUCUGAUCCUACCCUCAAAUCAGUAGAAUAACUCAUAUAUGAAGGAUAACUUAUUAUAGAUGAAGAGGACACGGGUUUGCACUGCACUCCUUCAAAAGAGGAAUGAAAUAACAAAGAGAUUGGCAUUGAACAUUUCAGCAGCUCUCUCUUUCUGAUUCCUGACUUAACCUGAAAUCCCCACCUGCCAGAAGCAUCCCCAUCUGAGCCCACACUCUUGGAAAAGCCUUCAGGGACAUUGCAAAUGAACUACACUCAUUCUCUAAAGAUGAGUAAGGAAGUUGUCAAAUUAGUACAGAGAAUCGAUGCCGUUUCCUCAGAUAUACUUGUUUACCUUCUAGAGGGAAAUAUUUUUAGGUGAUGUUUAUGGAACAGAAAACGUGUAUUUACUUGGAAGCCUGCUUACAUGUUGAAUGCUAAUUCUUGUCCUAUUUUCCAUUGAAAAUAUUUUGACACCGAUAUGACUGUAUGAGCCAAAUUUGAGGGAAGGGCACGAGUAUGUCUGAUGUCGGUGGGGGUGGAUGAUGGCUGUGGGAUGCUGGUACAGAUGUGCUCUAAGGAGGGCAGAGGCACAGCCCGUAAAGGGAGGGUAUCUGUGUCUUAGGUACAGAGCAAGAGUCAGCAGCCCUGGUGUGGUCUCUCCUUGGUGCUCAACAUCCAGACUCCUUUGGUUUUAUUUUCCCAUCAAACUUAACUUGUAGUUUCUCUCUCACUGGUGGUUCUAACUCCCAGCAUCAAGGCCACCUGUCAGCCGUGGCAGAGGUGAAGAAGGGGCAGGCACACCUCUUCUCUUCAAGGGCACAUUCUGGAAACCGCUCACUUUACGACACUCCUGUCCCAUUGGUCAAAUUGGUCACGUGGCCAUACUUAGCCGCAAGGGAGCCUGGCAAACAUAAUCCUUAGCUGUGUUCCACUAAAACCAGGGGCUUUUGUGACCAAUGGAAGAGUGGAUUUAGGGGGGCAUGGCAGUCUCUGUCAGGAUGGCUUGUUGUCCGUGGUUGUUUUAAAUUCUCCAUCUGAUCAUCCCAACAUCUCUGCCAUUUCUUUUUCUUCUUUUGGCUUUUUAGGGCUGCACCCAUGGUAUAUGGAAGUUCCCAGGCUAGGGGUCGAAUUGGUGCAGCAGCUGCUGGCCUGCACCACAGCCAUAGCAACAUGAGAUCUGAGCCUCGUCCACAACCUACACCACAGCUCAUGGCAAUGCCAUAUCUCCACCCCACUGAGCAAGGUCAGGGAUCGAACCUGUGUCCUCAUGGAUGCUAGUGGGAUUCAUUUCCACUGUGCCACAGCUGGAACUCCCCGCUUCUGCCACUUCCGUAUUUGGUUCUGAUGCUGGCUCUGUCUCUUCAAACUGCAUUUUCAGCCUUUUAGUAUGCCUUGUAAUUUGUGGUUGAAAGCUGGACAGAUACACUAGAUAAAAGUCACUGAAAUCAGCUGACCUUUGGUGUGGGGCUUUGUGUUUAUCUGCGUUUAAGAAUGAGGUUGUGUUUGGUGUUUGCUGUAUGUGGUGUCAGAGGCUGGAAUCACCUCUCUGGUGGUGUUUCUAUCUCUGCGGUUUCCCUGGAUUUUCUCUGGAGACUUUUUUUUUUUUUUUUUUUUUUGGUUGUGCUCAUUGGUAUGUGGAACUUCCUGGGCCAGGGAUCAAACUCAUACCACAGCAGUGACCUGAGCCCCUGCAGUGACAACACCACUGAACCACAGUGGUGGAUCCUGCGUUGCUGUGGCUAGAGUACAGGCCAGUGGCUGCAGCUCCAAUUUGACGCCUAGCCUGGGAAUUUCCAUAUACGGCAGAUGCGUCCCCAACAACCUAGUUAUUUGAAAAGCCUGGCCAACAGCAUCACUGAUGCCAAGAUCAAUGGCUGCCCAUUGUGGAUAAGUCGGAAAACCCACAACCAGUUGAAUGGAACAUGA